GGGUCCGAGUUGUAAUUUGCAGAGGAUGCUUCGGGUCCAGCUCCGGUCUAAGUUCCUUGGAACAGGACGUCAUAGAGGGUGAGAAUCCCGUAUGUGACCGGUCGCGAUGCCCGUGUGAAGCUCCUUCGACGAGUCGAGUUGUUUGGGAAUGCAGCUCAAAACGGGUGGUAAAUUUCAUCUAAAGCUAAAUAUUGGCCAGAGACCGAUAGCGCACAAGUAGAGUGAUCGAAAGAUGAAAAGCACUUUGGAAAGAGAGUCAAACAGUACGUGAAAUUGUUGAAAGGGAAGCGCUUGCAACCAGACUUGCCUGCAGGCGAUCAGCCGGUAUUCUUACCGGUGCACUUGCCUGCCGUCAGGCCAGCAUCGGUUCGGGUGGCUGGAUAAAGUCCACUGGAAUGUAGCUCCCCUCGGGGAGUGUUAUAGCCAGGGGUGCCAUGCAGCCCGCCCGGACCGAGGACCGCGCUUCGGCUAGGAUGCUGGCGUAAUGGUUGUAAGCGACCCGUCUUGAAACACGGACCAAGGAGUCUAACAUCUAUGCGAGUGUUUGGGUGUCAAACCCAUGCGCGUAAUGAAAGUGAACGGAGGUGGGAACCCUCAAGGGUGCACCAUCGACCGAUCCUGAUGUCUUCGGAUGGAUUUGAGUAAGAGCAUAGCUGUUGGGACCCGAAAGAUGGUGAACUAUGCCUGAAUAGGGUGAAGCCAGAGGAAACUCUGGUGGAGGCUCGCAGCGGUUCUGACGUGCAAAUCGAUCGUCAAAUUUGGGUAUAGGGGCGAAAGACUAAUCGAACCAUCUAGUAGCUGGUUCCUGCCGAAGUUUCCCUCAGGAUAGCAGUAACGUUUUCAGUUUUAUGAGGUAAAGCGAAUGAUUAGAGGCCUUGGGGUUGCAACAACCUUAACCUAUUCUCAAACUUUAAAUAUGUAAGAAGUCCUUGUUACUUAGUUGAACGUGGACAUUUGAAUGUACCGUUACUAGUGGGCCAUUUUUGGUAAGCAGAACUGGCGAUGCGGGAUGAACCGAACGCGAGGUUAAGGUGCCGGAAUGCACGCUCAUCAGACACCACAAAAGGUGUUGAUUCAUCUAGACAGCCGGACGGUGGCCAUGGAAGUCGGAAUCCGCUAAGGAGUCAGGGUACUGCCUGCAGUUACACGCUCCUCAUAGUUAUCUACUAGAGUUCAGCAAAAUCAUGACACAUGACUUUUGCUCUAUACUUGAUCGUUCUAAAUUCGUGGAAGACCUGUUCCAGUGACAGUGCAUCACGAGCCUGGACACUCACUCCGAGGUGUCCUGGGUCUACAGACUAAAUGGGACGGGCCCCUCUAGGGGCCUUGAGAUAGUCGAGACCACCUCUGAGAAGGGGUGGUGUAGAAUUGAGGGAGCUGGGAAACUGGCAUUAUCGCACCUGAAAGCCAGUUGUAUCUGGUCUUCACGUGAACCUCUUGUAGCUCUCACAGCAUCAUCUGUGGAAGCCGUCUACAUCAACGGUGUAACAACUCACCGGCCGAAUGAAUCAGCCCUGAAAAUGGAUGGCGCUCAAGCGUGCUACCCAUACCUCGCCGCCAGGGUAGA
rnacentral:rRNA from 1 species